CAGUUUUCCCACUGGAACCAUAAAGGGGAAAAUGUCUACUUUUUCAACAACCUUCAGUGACUGCAUAGAUACAGCUGCUGAUUUGAAGUCAACGGCACAAGACGAGUCUCAACAUCUUUUUUACAUUGUGGCGACCAAAACUGAAUGCAAUAUUCCAAGUGUGGCCUUACCACACUUUAAGAGCUGACCAACUGCUACGAUGAUGUAAUACUGGGAAUGAGCCAGCAAAAUUUCUGUUGUUAAGUGAGACAUUUGUUAAAUGAGAUAUGAUGGCAUUUCCCCUGAAAGAACAAAUUCCAGGUUUUGGAGGAGAUGAGUUGGAGCUCCUCCUGGUGCAAUCAUCACUCAAACAGGUCAAAACCGUGGUCGGACAUGCUGAAUUUUGGCUAGCAUGCCAGUUGUGGAACUUUGGGAAAUCAGUAUGCCCUUUCAACACGUGAGUCCCGCCCUUGCCAUCUCAUGGUUAGACGACUGCAGUGGGCUUUUCGUAGGACUGCCCUUGGAGAUGAUUUGGAAGCUGUAGUUGGUUCAAAAUGCAAAGGCUCAACUGCUGACAGGAAGAAUCGGGUUAGUAGCACGAUACCUGUGCUGUGAGGUUACUUCAUGAUUACCUAUAGAUUUCUGAGUCCAAUUCAAGGGUGGUUCAACCUUUAAAAAUCCUACAUGGUUCAGCAUCCAUGAAUUGUUUAGCUGUCUCUCCCAACAAGAAUAAACCUUGAUUUGUCUUUGG